rnacentral:rRNA from 1 species
UACGAAGGGGGCUAGCGUUGCUCGGAAUCACUGGGCGUAAAGGGUGCGUAGGCGGGUUUUUAAGUCAGAGGUGAAAUCCUGGAGCUCAACUCCAGAACUGCCUUUGAUACUGAGAAUCUUGAGUACGGGAGAGGUGAGUGGAACUGCGAGUGUAGAGGUGAAAUUCGUAGAUAUUCGCAAGAACACCAGUGGCGAAGGCGGCUCACUGGCCCGUAACUGACGCUGAGGCACGAAAGCGUGGGGAGCAAACAGGG